rnacentral:rRNA from 1 species
AGUGAACGCUGGCGGUAGGCCUAACACAUGCAAGUCGAACGGCAGCACAGUAAGAGCUUGCUCUUACGGGUGGCGAGUGGCGGACGGGUGAGGCAUACAUCGGAAUCUACUUUUUCGUGGGGGAUAACGUAGGGAAACUUACGCUAAUACCGCAUACGACCUACGGGUGAAAGCAGGGGAUCUUCGGACCUUGCGCGAUUGAAUGAGACGAUGUCGGAUUAGCUAGUUGGCGGGGUAAAGGCCCACCAAGGCGACGAUCCGUAGCUGGUCUGAGAGGAUGAUCAGCCACACUGGAACUGAGACACGGUCCAGACUCCUACGGGAGGCAGCAGUGGGGAAUAUUCGACAAUGGGCGCAAGCCUGAUCCAGCCAUACCGCGUGGGUGAAGAAGGCCUUCGGGUUGUAAAGCCCUUUUGUUGGGAAAGAAAAGCAGCAUGUUAAUACCCCGCUGUUCUGACGGUACCCAAAGAAUAAGCACCGGCUAACUUCGUG